GUUAGCGGCGGACGGGUGAGUAACACGUGGAUAACCUACCUAUAAGACUGGGAUAACUUCGGGAAACCGGAGCUAAUACCGGAUAAUAUUUUGAACCGCAUGGUUCAAAAGUGAAAGACGGUCUUGCUGUCACUUAUAGAUGGAUCCGCGCUGCAUUAGCUAGUUGGUAAGGUAACGGCUUACCAAGGCAACGAUGCAUAGCCGACCUGAGAGGGUGAUCGGCCACACUGGAACUGAGACACGGUCCAGACUCCUACGGGAGGCAGCAGUAGGGAAUCUUCCGCAAUGGGCGAAAGCCUGACGGAGCAACGCCGCGUGAGUGAUGAAGGUCUUCGGAUCGUAAAACUCUGUUAUUAGGGAAGAACAUAUGUGUAAGUAACUGUGCACAUCUUGACGGUACCUAAUCAGAAAGCCACGGCUAACUACGUGCCAGCAGCCGCGGUAAUACGUAGGUGGCAAGCGUUAUCCGGAAUUAUUGGGCGUAAAGCGCGCGUAGGCGGUUUUUUAAGUCUGAUGUGAAAGCCCACGGCUCAACCGUGGAGGGUCAUUGGAAACUGGAAAACUUGAGUGCAGAAGAGGAAAGUGGAAUUCCAUGUGUAGCGGUGAAAUGCGCAGAGAUAUGGAGGAACACCAGUGGCGAAGGCGACUUUCUGGUCUGUAACUGACGCUGAUGUGCGAAAGCGUGGGGAUCAAACAGGAUUAGAUACCCUGGUAGUCCACGCCGUAAACGAUGAGUGCUAAGUGUUAGGGGGUUUCCGCCCCUUAGUGCUGCAGCUAACGCAUUAAGCACUCCGCCUGGGGAGUACGACCGCAAGGUUGAAACUCAAAGGAAUUGACGGGGACCCGCACAAGCGGUGGAGCAUGUGGUUUAAUUCGAAGCAACGCGAAGAACCUUACCAAAUCUUGACAUCCUUUGACAACUCUAGAGAUAGAGCCUUCCCCUUCGGGGGACAAAGUGACAGGUGGUGCAUGGUUGUCGUCAGCUCGUGUCGUGAGAUGUUGGGUUAAGUCCCGCAACGAGCGCAACCCUUAAGCUUAGUUGCCAUCAUUAAGUUGGGCACUCUAAGUUGACUGCCGGUGACAAACCGGAGGAAGGUGGGGAUGACGUCAAAUCAUCAUGCCCCUUAUGAUUUGGGCUACACACGUGCUACAAUGGACAAUACAAAGGGUAGCGAAACCGCGAGGUCAAGCAAAUCCCAUAAAGUUGUUCUCAGUUCGGAUUGUAGUCUGCAACUCGACUACAUGAAGCUGGAAUCGCUAGUAAUCGUAGAUCAGCAUGCUACGGUGAAUACGUUCCCGGGUCUUGUACACACCGCCCGUCACACCACGAGAGUUUGUAACACCCGAAGCCGGUGGAGUAACCUUUUAGGAGCUAGCCGUCGAAGGU
rnacentral:rRNA from 1 species